GCGAACGUGUUGAAAUGGUAGCCAAGCCCGUUUUAGGUACGGGUACCUUAGUGUGUAGGAGUUCGAGUCUCCUCGUUCGUA
rfam:Cryptococcus amylolentus CBS 6039 supercont1.15, whole genome shotgun sequence.